GAACGUCCUCUGGUUUUUCGGAACCAGAGGGAGUGGCGGACGGGUGAGUAACACAUGGGUGACCUACCCCACAGUGAGGAAUACCGGCGAGAAAUCGCCGACAAGACCGCAUACGCUCGGCCUGGUAGAGCGGAGCGAGCAAAGUGUCGCUCGUGAGAGCGAGACGCUGAGGGAGGGGCCUGUGGCCGAUUAGCUGGUUGGUGGGGUAAAAGCCUACCAAGGCGACGAUCGGUAGCUGGUCUGAGAGGACGAACAGCCACACUGGGAUUGAGAACGGCCCAGACUCCUACGGGGGGCAGCAGUGAGGAAUUUUCCGCAAUGGGCGCAAGCCUGACGGAGCAACGCCGCGUGCAGGAGGACGCUUUUCGGAGUGUAAACUGCUUUUCUGUGGGACGAGAGUGGACGGUACCACAGGAAGAAGCCCCGGCUAACUACGUG
rnacentral:rRNA from 1 species